rnacentral:tRNA from 1 species
GGGCGAAUAGCUCAGUUGGGAGAGCACUUCCCUUACAAGGAAGGGGUCACGGGUUCGAGUCCUGUUUCGCCCA